rnacentral:tRNA from 1 species
GAGGGUGUAGCUCAAUGGUAGAGUACAUGCCUAGCAUGCGUGAGGUCCUGGGUUCAGUCCCCAGUACCUCCA